rnacentral:tRNA from 1 species
CUGGGUAGAUAACGAUGGUUGUUUACCUGCAUUGGAAGCAGGAGGUUGCAGGUUCGAGUCCUGCUUCCUAGACAA